AGGCAUAGACAACAGACAAUUAGGUGUAGAAGUUGGAAUCACCUUAUAAGUUAUUGAAUACGAGUUCUUAAGGUACCAAAACUCUCAUGAAAUAAGGUGUUUAUAGCUUCACAUACUUAAUAGUUUGAUUGUUCCAAACCUAAAUGAGGUUGUAUUUGUUAAUCAUAUAUAUACUUACUUUACAUUUUUUGGUAGUAAAUGAUGUUUGAUUGAAAAUAAGAUAAUGUACCUCUAAUAUAUAAAUUAUAGCUUAUAUAUUAUUAUUUUUAAUAAGAAAUAAAAUUCAAACACAAAUAAUUGGUCAAAUUCUUAUAUUUCAGAUUUAUUGUUUAUUUCAACCGCUAAUUCAAAUACUAUAUUAGUUUGGGAAAGUUUAUACAGGUUGUCACAAAAACUACAGGAUUCCUUCUCAUAAAUCUGGUGAAUCUCCCACGAUAAUAACAUCAUCCCACAAUUUAAAAACUAUAGUACAGUAGCCGGGAUGAAAAUUAAUAUCGGCGUUAGUUGUACUUGUCUACAACUUGAUCAAUGUGGGAAAUGAAUUAUCGAAUAUUUCUUUUUCCCUUAAUUUGACUUUUACAAUAUGUCAGUUUAACUUUCAAUGACGCAGUUUUUUGUUUCAAUAGUUUUCAUUUUUUUUUUUUAAUUUUAGUUUACUAUUUUUUUUUUUUACAAAAGAGUAAAACAUGUACAAAAUGACCAAAAAUAUCAAAAAUCCUAAAUGGACAAACAAAAGUUGAGAAUGUCUAUUUUCUUUCGAUUUUUCUUUUUUUUUCUACGCAGUGUCCUGUAUUUAGAGUAAGACUAAUGAAAAACAAAAAGGAGUCAAAGAAUAUAUCUGGGAACAUAUUUUUUCGUCUUAUCAGUUUGUUUCGAUUCUUAACAAGU
rnacentral:lncRNA from 1 species